rnacentral:rRNA from 1 species
ACGCUCGACACCUACGGAGGCAGCAGUGGGGAAUAUUGGGCAAUGGGCGCAAGCCUGACCCAGCAACGCCGCGUGAAGGAAGAAGGCCCUCGGGUUGUAAACUUCUUUUGACAGGGACGAAACAAAUGACGGUACCUGUCGAAUAAGCCACGGCUAACUACGUGCCAACAGCCGCGGUAAUCUGAGCGGGCUGGCAAGGC